rnacentral:misc_RNA from 1 species
AAGUCGUAACAAGGUUUCCGUAGGUGAACCUGCGGAAGGAUCAUUAACACUUUAAUCCUUUAUAAACAACUGAGAACAUGUACCUCUACCUGAGAAUAAUUAAAUCGUCAACGUAUAGUGUAUGGUGAAAGUAGAGUCUGUCUAGGCUCUACUAGCUAUUCAUUGACUGGAAGUCUUGGAGCUUCAGAUUUUUAUUUUUAGGCUAUUUUACGCCAUCACCAUGGUAUAUAACUAUAUUAACAACUAUAAUUAAAAUUGAACUAAUCUAUGCUUCACUAGUAGAAAUACUAGUAGAAUCAAGUUUAUACGAAACUAAGAACAACUCUUAGCAAUGGAUAUCUUGGUUCCC